GCUGGAAUGGCCGAGUCGUUAAGGCGAGUGAUUUGAAUACUCACUAUCACUUGGUGUUUCACCGCGUAGGUUCAAAUCCUGCUUCCAGCG